rnacentral:lncRNA from 1 species
AGAUAUUCGUUAUUGACUAAUUGAGAACACAAUAGGUGACCUUAAGACUCCAGAUAUGGUGAAGAAGUAGUAUAUAGGCAUUUAAAAUUUCAACAACAACAUGGAAUGGGGAAGAAGAAGAGAUACAUGUGAGUAGGAGCAAUAGGGUGGGAAUUGGGAGAUUCCUAAUGUCCAAUAAAAAUACAAACAAAAAAUACUUGGGAAGUGGAAGGGAGAUAUUUAUUUUUAUAACUUAUAAUAAUAAAGAGUGUCUGAAAACAGCAAGAAAUGUCUGCAUGGUGAAAGAUACUCUCUGCCACAACCCAUCAGAAUGAAGAUUAUGUUGAUGUUGGUGUUUGUUUGGUUUCCGGGUUCAGCUUCAGCAGCCGGCAAAUUUACUAGCUGAUCACCUGCAGUCAGCCAGCCUAACCUAGCUAGCUAGCUAGCUAGUUAAAAAGGAAUCAAAAACAAGCCACCAAGAAACAAAGUCCCCCAUUAACAAACAACAGGAAUCUGAUGCUGCUGCUGCCUGCUGUUCCACACCCCCAAUGACUCUGCUUCUGCUAACUGCUACUGCUCAUGAAAAACAUCAAUAAUACACACCUAAAAGUCAAAGAGUAUGACUUAGGGAGGGGGGCUGAUUAGGAAUUUAUGCGUUCAAAGCACAAAGAACAAGGGAAGGAAUAGCAGUAGUAAAUAGUAAUUAAUUAAGGGAGAGUAGUAAAAUGAAGGAAAUCACAUGGGAGGCAUAAUAUUGGGCCUCCCCACUCACCCAAUCCCAUGAGGAGCUUCAGGAUUCAGCAGCAGACUCUAUCUCUGCUAUCCUUUUGCAGUUUGCUGUCUGUGCCAAAGUUUUUUGAGCUUAAAUUGGCAAAUUUGUUACUCACCGCAUACUCAUAGGUGGGUGGGUGGGUGAGUUGUUUGGUUUCGUGUAACUCUUUUCAACAACAUUUAUUAUUAAAUUUAUGAAUGUAUAGCAUUUCAAUUUCUGCUCACAUAUUCCCAGGAAUGGAAUUGGGUAGCUUUGCUUUAACCCUAUUAGGGGAAAAAAAGGAAUGGAAUUGGGUUGACGUGCCUGCCUGUGACUGAAAUAUCUAUCCCAUGUUCCCAGGUUAACCCUUUCAGUUUUCCUUCCUUUCGUUCGUUCACGCCAUUGAAUCUAUCUGGCCUCUGCCUGCUUCAUUUACUUUCUACUUAUGCUAUGUCAUAACUCAUAUCUGUCGUUAUUCAUUCUUUGCUUGUUUAUCACUCCAAAAUUAUUUGCUUGUUUCCUUAAUAUUUGAGUGCCAAAAGAAAGUUGGAAUCUUAACCGGUUAACUUGUAUCAUCAAAAUCAAUCUGGUCGACCCGUAUCAUAAUUUUAGUUGUUGC